UGAUGAAGAACGCAGCGAAAUGCGAUAAGUAAUGUGAAUUGCAGAAUUCAGUGAAUCAUCGAAUCUUUGAACGCACAUUGCGCCCGCCAGUAUUCUGGCGGGCAUGCCUGUUCGAGCGUCAUUACAACCCUCAGGCCCCCGGGCCUGGCGUUGGGGAUCGGCGGAAGCCCCCUGCGGGCACAACGCCGUCCCCCAAAUACAGUGGCGGUCCCGCCGCAGCUUCCAUUGCGUAGUAGCUAACACCUCGCAACUGGAGAGCGGCGCGGCCACGCCGUAAAACACCCAACUUCUGAAUGUUGACCUCGAAUCAGGUAGGAAUACCCGCUGAACUUAAGCAUAUCAAUAAGCGGAGGA
rnacentral:misc_RNA from 1 species